GCCUCUUGAUGCUCUCCCGGAAGGACUCACCAGUCCAUCUAGGAGCAAAAUGGAAGGACUCUCCCCAACCGAACUCAUAAAAGCUGGUCACGAGAUCAUAGUAUUUAUUGACCAUGUCGGUGUAGUUGGCUUCUCUUUCCUUCUUUUCGCCUCCAUAGAAGCCAUGGUAUUUCUCAUACUUUUCAACGGCGCAGAGUACUUCAGCUUUG
rnacentral:misc_RNA from 1 species